rnacentral:ncRNA from 1 species
UUCUUCGGGGCAGGGUGUGAUUCCCUACCGGCGGUGACAGUCCGCGACCCGUAAUUUACGGCUGAACCGGUGCAAUUCCGGUACCGACAGUAUAGUCUGGACGAGAGAAGAA